rnacentral:rRNA from 1 species
UACGUAGGGUGCGAGCGUUAAUCGGAAUUACUGGGCGUAAAGCGUGCGCAGGCGGUUCGCUGUGUCCGAUGUGAAAUCCCCGGGCUCAACCUGGGAACUGCAUUUGUGACUGCAAGGCUGGAGUGCGGCAGAGGGGGAUGGAAUUCCGCGUGUAGCAGUGAAAUGCGUAGAUAUGCGGAGGAACACCGAUGGCGAAGGCAAUCCCCUGGGCCUGCACUGACGCUCAUGCACGAAAGCGUGGGGAGCAAACAGG